GGAAAAGAGAGGGGGGAGGGAGGGAGGGGGAGAGGAAGGUGGAGGCUGGAGAGCCGCGGAAGAGGGGCUCUGCCUUCGGUCUUCAGUUUCGUUCGAAACAGAGAUCUUGUCUUGAGAACAUUGUGAUGAACUCUAGCUCUAUGUUCCACCAUUGGGCAUCCAUGUUCUAAUGGUGCUGACAGAUUCAAAUAUUUCACAUGGACUGGUAGAUCUUGGCCCCAUGUAAUCUAGAUCAUAUUAGAUAUCUUGAUACUGAUUAUUGGUUUAAACCUUGAUCUUGUUAUGAAUCCUAGCCUUAGUUUAGGCUUAUUUGGGCUCCUUUUAUUGUCCAUUUAGGUGUUAAUUUACUUCCUUAAAUUUCUGCAUUUUAGAUUUGAGUUCUAUGAUGUCAUACAUCACAACAUUAAUGCCAUUUAAUGUCCUUUAGAGUUUAGAAUAUAAUAUUUGCAGUCUUUGAGUUUAUUCUGAAUUUAACCCAUAAGAAGGUAUCCAAUAUGGCUGAAAGAGGUGGAAAUCAGAAAAGGCCCAAGCACAACCACAUGCACGGGGUGCUUGGCAAUAGGCUGCGCAGAGUAUGCUUAAUGAGCAUGUCUUAAUGCUGGCGAUCAUCAUUGAGCGGUUAAGUCUGUUCUUUAACACAUUGGCCUUGGCAUCAUUAAGGAACACUUACACCUAGGAACUGGGACCUUGUUGUGCUUGGAGAGGUUGCAGCUCCAUAUCAAAUUAUCUUACAGAAACUAGUGGCGUACAGGAUGAUGACCCACUGGUUUCAAGUUCCAACUUUACUGACGAGCUUGAUGUAUAUGUAGAACAACCUAGGACGCUAGUUUCAAGUUCCACCUAGGACACAUCAACAUGAGUCUCCACUGUGAGGGGUUUAACUCAUAGAGUCUCACGGAGCCACUAUACUGGAGCAUCUCAAGUAGGUAUUGAUGAUAGGUUACUCAUGACACUAUAGUGGUCUUCAUAUUAUGGGAUUUACAUUGAGAUUGAUGACUUUAAGAGGUCAUCUCAAAAAAUGUGAGUUCCAUUAUUAAUAAGAUAGCAUCAAUCAUUUAUUUGAGUGAAAAAGCGUGAAGGAAAAUGAGCAAAGUUUGUCACCACUUAAAGUUGUAGCAUUAUUGUGGUGGAAAGAGCUUCGAACUAGCUGAGCUUGAAGAGGAAAGGAGACAAUCUUCACCUGAGAAAAAAUGAGUUAUUAGUUACAGAUAUAGUACUUCAAAAUCUGACUACUCUCUCUCCGAAUCUCCUGGGGGCUUGGAUUUAUGUAGGGCCACAAGUUAAUCUUUAAGAAUUUGACUUACGGGCUUCAACAAGAACGCAUGAUUACAUCUCCCUGUUCAGGAUUACGCAUUCCUGUUCCAUUUUCACUGCAAAUGGUGUGCAUCAGCAAUCCCUAGAACUAAGAAGCUAGUCUAGUGAACAUUUAGGAUGGACACCAAUAACAGAUGCCCUACAAUUUGUAUUGGAUGAAGCCUAGUCCUGAGACAACUCAAGCUGCCAAACCCACCUACUGACUCCUGCAAACACCACUAGUAGACCCAGAGCAGGAGAUGCAUGGACUGUUGAUCAUCAAAAUUAAGUGUAGUUGGUAUAAAUAUCUAUUCCAGGGGCUAACUGUUGACUAGAUUCCAAAAUUACUUUAAUUAAGGUAUGUAAAUAUUAAUGUUUGUAUAAUUAGUUUGGCUACUAAUUGUGUUAUGAGGGUUCACUUUUUUUUCAUGUUAACUAUUAUACUGGUGCUCAAUUACUAAAGCUUGUAAAAUGUUAUCCUAAUAGUGACCAAUGUUAUUGUUUUCAGUUUUAUAUAUUUCUUGAGGGGGAUGUUGGUAGAAAGUCAUCAUGCCAAAACCAAAUAGAUGGGAUGUGACCAUUUGGUAAAAAUGUGGUGAUGGAGGUAGUGUGAUAUCUUGAGUUUAGCAUAUUUUCUUGAGAUAUAUUUUCUACUCCUAUAUUGAACCAUCCUAUUGCCUGCCUGAAACUUCAACAUUGGUUGCCCACUUCCCAGCUUAUCAAAGUUGUAGGUAUAUCUCAUGUCUUAAGAACUUCAAGAAGAAAAUACAAUAUCAUGUUAUGUGAGGACCCAUGCAGGUGCAUCUUUAACCUCACAUCAAUUGUGUUAGGGAGAUCUUAAAUACUUAUACAAGGCCAAGGAACCCAAAUAACAUCUUUAUCUAGCUCUUUUAGGUGAGAUCUUGAGUUAUUAUAAAUGGCAUUAGAGCAGACCCAAUCCAUGGCUUGAGUGGAUUAAGAAAUAUUGUAGCAGGGGCCCUUUGGGCUGGCCUCGAGCCAAUUUUGGCAUAUGUGAUUGGAUUUAAUUGGAUUUCAACCCUUAGUCUAACAAGGAUCCCAAGGUUCAAACGAGGGAAGUAUGUAAGGACCUGUGCAAGCUUGUGUUUGGUCCUACAUAGUUUGUACGUUGGGGAGGUCUCACAUACUUAUGUAGGGCCAAGUAAUCCAAAUAGUA